AUUGAACGCUGGCGGCGGGCCUAACACAUGCAAGUCGAACGAGUGGCGGACGGGUGAGUAAUGUCUGGGAAACUGCCUGAUGGAGGGGGAUAACUACUGGAAACGGUAGCUAAUACCGCAUACCAUCAGAUGUGCCCAGAUGGGAUUAGCUAGUUGGUGGGGUAACGGCUCACCAAGGCGACGAUCCCUAGCUGGUCUGAGAGGAUGACCAGCCAAACGGGAACUGAGCCACGGCCCAGACUCCUCCGGGAGGCAGCAGGGGGGAAUAUUGCACAAUGGGCGCAAGCCUGAUGCAGCCAGCCCGCUGGUAGGAAGAAGGCCUUCGGGUUGUAAAGUACUUUCAGCGGGGAGGCGUUACCCGCAGAGGAAGCACCGGCUAACUCCGUGCCAGCAGCCGCGGUAAUUC
rnacentral:rRNA from 1 species